AACGCGAAGAACCUUACCAGGAUUUGACAUGCCCUCUAUGAACUCUUGAAAGAGAGUUCUUCACUUCGGGUGGGAGGUGCACAGGUGCUGCAUGGCUGUCGUCAGCUCGUGUCGUGAGAUGUUGGCCAGUUCUUUAAAUAAUAAGUUUGGCCCGCAACGAGCGCAACCCUCGUCCUCUGUUGCUAACAGGUCAUGCUGAGAACUCUGAGGAAACUGCCGGUGACCCGCUGCGCCAGCGCCUGCGCGGCGAGUAAGCCGGAGGAAGGUGGGGAUGACGUCAAGUCCUCAUGGCCCAGCUUUAUCGCUCAAGUGCCGCUUGGCUGGCCUAGGCUACACACGUGUUACAAUGGUGGUGACAAUGGGUCGCCCAAAUACUUAUUUAAGAUUGGCGCAAGGGCUAGCUAAUCCCCAAAAGCCACCUCAGUUUGGCCAAUCUUAGCUUAAAUUGUACUCUGCAACUCGAGUACAUGAAAUUGGAAUCGCUAGUAAUCGUGGAU
rnacentral:rRNA from 1 species